rnacentral:rRNA from 1 species
AUUGAACGCUGGCGGCAGGCCUAACACAUGCAAGUCGAACGAGUGGCGGACGGGUGAGUAAUGUCUGGGAAACUGCCUGAUGGGGGGGGAUAACUACUGGAACCGGUAGCUAAUACCGCAUACCAUCAGAUGUUCCCAGAUGGGAUUAGCUUGUUGGGGGGGUAACGGCUCACCAAGGAGACAAUCCCUAGCUGGUCUGAGAGGAUGACCAGCCACACUGGAACUGUGACACGGGCCAGACCCCUCCGGGAGGCAGCAGUGGGGAAUAUUGGACAAUGGGCGCAAGCAUUAGGCAGCAAUGCCGCGUGUAUGAAGAAGGCCUUCGGGUUGUAAAGUACUUUAAGCGGGGAGGCGUUACCCGCAGAAGAAGCACCGGCUAACUCCGUGCCAGCAGCCGCGGUAAUUC